rnacentral:rRNA from 1 species
UACAUGGGGUGCAAACGUUGCUCGGAAUUAUUGGGCGUAAAGCGCGCGUAGGCGGUUACUCAAGUCGGAUGUGAAAGCCCUCGGCUUAACUGAGGAAGUGCACCCGAAACUGAGUAGCUAGAGUACUAAAGAGGGUCGCGGAAUUCCCGGUGUAGAGGUGAAAUUCGUAGAUAUCGGGAGGAACACCGGUGGCGAAGGCGGCGACCUGGGUAGAUACUGACGCUGAGGCGGCGAAAGCGUGGGA